rfam:Hordeum vulgare subsp. vulgare, WGS project CAJW01000000 data, contig: morex_contig_158841
UAACUACUCCCUCCGUCUCAAAAUUCUUGUCUUAGGUUUCUCUACAAAUGAAUGUAUCUAAAUGCUAAAAUGUGACUAGAUACAUUCGUAUCUCGACAAAUUUAAGACAAGAAUUUUAGGACGGAGGGAGUAUUAC